ACAGAAGAGGAAAACAGGAAAAAAAAAAAUAGGAACGUGUUAGUGCCGUACAACAGAAAGUGGUAAGCUGCAGGAUGCGACGUUUAAGAUUGGAGGAUGUCAAGAUUUCUGCCACAGAAGAGAGGUUUCUUCCUUAAUUACGGGCUUACUUGCCUUCAUUCUCCAGCUACUGAAGCGCUCAGAUGGAGAGCUGCAUCCUCCCAGCAAGAAGUGCCCUGAGUCUCACAAGCCAGCUCGUGCUUUUCCAUGACCCAGGUCCCUCACUUCCCCUUGGACUUCAGCGCACUUCAGGGGAGCUGCAGACCUGGCCUGUUGGGCAAUGGGGCUGUGAACCGACGCUGGUGGGAUUCCUGCGUUGGGCAAUGGAGGCGUUAAUCCAACAGUCGGAGGUGUGGUUGUGAAAGAACCCGACCGGGCCCUUAGCACACACCAACAGAAGGAUAUGGGAUAACCGCGGAGUUGCACGGCCCUGGGAGCUGCAGUUGCACCACUUCCUCCCCUGUGACAGGAUCGGGCUCACAGACAGGCCUCAUGGAGGAGCUAGGUGUGGUGUUUGUGCUGGUGGUGAUGACGUUUUGGUUCCUCACCACGUUUUCCCCCAAGUAGACGAUGGCCCCACCUAGCAGACUUGGACAGCUCCCACCCACCCUGCUCAGACCUGGCUGUAAGAGUCACAAAUUCGCAGCUCCUCGACACUCCUCUUGUGGCAGAAGGUAAAAAUUAGUCAUUCCAACUUCCUCUUUUCCUUCCGUGUGAAGGGGCUGGGAAACGGGGUGAGCAACGCUCAUCUCUGGAACAGGAAACCAAAGUCUUGCUUCACUGCUGCUUGUAGCAUGAGUCCCAGCUGGCCCUGUGGGAAGGGCCCAUGGUGUCCCUUCUGUUGGCUGCUCCUCCUUGGGGAUCCUCAGCCAUCAAAGAUGCUCCAGAAAGCUGUGGCAGAGUGGCCCAGGAACAUGGACUCCGUAGGAGGAUGGCUUCAGGGCAGGCUGGGAUGAAUUGGUGUGAAGGGAAAGAUAAUUCUACCCACUUCUCAAAGCAAACGCUGCUCAUCUUCCUUCCUUGCCUCCCAUGGCCUCUUUGUUCAGAGCAGCCCAUGGUGUGUAAAUGCCUCUGCACCUUCUGAGAUCCCAUGGGUUUUCCAGAUGAGGAAGGAACCAAGAAGAGUGCGAUGGCCCCUGAGAAUCCUUCCUCAGAGACUUGUUGUGUUCUUGAGCCAACUCAAUGUCCUGCUCAGGAGGAAGGCUGCUGUGGCUGAUGAGAAGAUGGGCUCUUCUGUGGUGAACCAGCAGUGGGAGGUUGCCCUUAGCGAGACGUGAACAACCUUCAGCAUGCUCCUUGCUGGUAAUUAGUAGAUGACUAAUUAGUAUUUUGUGGUCAGAGUCUGCAGUGGGUAUUCCCCUGAUGACCAAGGGAGCUGAAGCUGCAGUGUGCAGCCUGAGCUGCUUCCUCUGGGAAGGAAGCCUUGCUCUGCCGUCUCGCCACGCUUCCUAACAGAAAGUUCAGACCCGAACUUAACUGUAUAUAUUUUCUUCAAAAGUGGUGAAGCAAUGUUUUCCUACUGAAAUAUUAUUCCACCCUUCCUUGCAAGCAAGCUUUUUUUUUUUUUCUUUUGAUUUUCUUUGAAAAACAUACUUCUUGUUUCAGCUUUGUCUGCUCUGGUCUCAAUCUUUUGCAUUUGCAGUUAAUUGCCUACUUCAAAGAAAAACAGAGAAGUCUUUGAUUUACUAGAUUGGCUAAAUUCAAUAUCUUUCCCAGAAACAGUGGCUCAGUGUUUCCUAACAAUAAGCUCAAAUGUUUGAGCGAUAUAAUUUCCUCGCUUCUGACACUCAUCAAAAUCAGCGUAUUGCGUCCAAUUUGGUCUCCUUCAUAUCCCAGUGGCAAGCUUAGCUUCAACUUUAUCCACUUUAAACAAUACUCGUGUUUGCCACACAGUGUCCUAAAGCUGCAAGGUCUCAUUCGUGAUAUGAAUAACACGCACAGUUGGACACCUACAUUAAGUAUGUAUGAUGAGAUCACUUCCAGUAAAACCUUGAAAUGCAGUAAUGUGAAAAACAUCUGGUUGUUGUGCAUUUGAUUUAAAGCUGGAAGUCUUGGACAAAGGGACUAUACAUUUGUUAACGUGUUCUGUGCUUUGCAGAGGUUUCCGUGUAAUUUACUCAUUAGACUUCAAAAGCCGGAAAUUAUACGACCUCUAGAUUGAAAUUAGCUUAUUAGACAUCAAAAGUAGGAAAAUAUAUAAUCUCUUGGUGGGAACUAGUAAUCGCUUGUUAAAGAAAAAUAAUAAUAAUCUGAAUUUAACGCAGCAAUUUCGGCCUGCAAAACCACCCAUCCGUGUGUGUGUGCUUGGGUGUGUAUUUGUGUGCCAAAACCAAGGGAAGGGCUGGAGGUUGGGAGCUGGCCAUGCUUCCCUAGCAGGAGAUGCUGCUGGAUGAACCAGGGCAGGCAGCCAGGGGCUCCCACGGCGCAAUCCUAUGGCCAGUGCCAAGUCUUCCAGUCCAUGUGAGGUGGCUGCGUGGCAUCUGUGCCCGAAGCAAGGGGAAGGUUGCAGCUCUGCCAUUGCCCUGCCGUGGCUGCAAGCACUGGGGCAGUUGGGUGAGCGUGACCGGCUCGGCAUCGUGUCCGCGUUCGUGGCUCCCCAGCAAAAAUGUGCGGUAUGUUUGAGGAGUAUCGGUAGCGAGCCAUAGUAACCAUGGAAAUGCGGCUGUUUAGCAAAUUGUAGAGAGGAAAAUUCAACAGGAAUGGCCAAAGGAAUGAAUUAGAGCUACCCCUUGGCAAGGGUGAUGUACAAAGCGCUGCUGUUUUUUUUUUCUUUAAAAACAAGCAAACAGAAAACCCCCAAACACAUACGUAUGUGGAACUUGGGCUUUUUCAUUCAUCGCUAGCUGUCUGCUCUGAGAUGUGGAAAAUGUUUGCGGGGAUGUUGCCACGUCUCCCAUGUUUUGUUUGUGGACCCACCUCGCCUUGCUGAGAUGGACAUUUCCUGCACAGCCCAGACCAUGAGUGCUGCCAAGUGGGCUUCCCUCUGUCACCUCCACAACCCACUCCCCUCUCUGUGUGCAAAAACAUGCUCUUGGCAGCCCCAGGUUCACCUGCUUUGGAGGCAGGUCUGUGCCAGCUCUCCUGGAGCUUUUCUAAUGCUUGUGCUGGACAGGAACUCAUCAGCAAGAGGCUCCAGGCUGCAUUGCACCAGGAGUCCUCCAGGUAUACUGCUUGCUGCAUGCAGGUACAUUUGUUUCUGUAUUUUAUCCAACAGGGCUGAAAAGCUGAAGAAUCUGCUGCAUUUAUCCUUAGUUUCUUAUCAAUUACUAUAUGUUUAUGUAUAUCCUGUAUGUUGAUCUUCAUCACUGUAACUUCUGCUUGCAGGGAAAUGCCCAUCACAGCCGCAACACUGAUCAGCAGCAGCCACGGCACAGUCCUUAGCAAUACGGGCAGCCAACCAGGUGCAAGGGAAGCAGUUUAUUUGGAGGAAGGGUUGCUUUGCUCUCCCCUUGGGCUGCCCUUUUGGGAGACCACGCAGAACAUGAGGCAACACCACCAGGGACUAAGAUUGGUGCCACGCUUUUCCCAGUGGGCCGACCAAAUGGGAAAGUCCAAUCUGCUCUAAAAACGUGACAACGUCUCCAUGAAGAUGUGCAGGGGCCCAGGCCAGUGUUCGGGCCAGGCCUCCAGCUUCCAUCAAUGUGUAGGGAUUGAUGCAGCAUCUUUUCCUGCUGUUGAAGAUGUGGCUCAAGUGAGACAUUGUGACCUUUGCCCUCUGCCCUGAGAAACACUCUACUGUCCUCCCAGCACUGUCCUUGGCUUCCCAACGCUGUAAUUGUAAAUAUUUUUAGCAUGCUCCUAACUGUGAGAGCCCACAGGGCUUACAUAAACCCUUGAGUUUCCUUCAGAAAUGCGGGUAGCAUAUUGCAAAAUACACAGUGGGGAACGUUCUCGCACUUUCUUGCUCUAAUGUCUUUUUGUGCCUGUGUUUCAUUAAUACCAUGUGAACUGUACCAAGACACGAUGGCAGGGGCAGCAGCCGCUUUGUCACGCUGAGUGCAUCACGUUGUUCUGAUGGAGAGGUGGAGGGGAAAACGGCUCCUGCAGCCUUGCUGGAGAAAUGAUGGUGCUGAGCUGAGGGGGGCUGUUCUGAGGUUCGUCUUCAAGUCAGAGUUCUGUCACGGUUUCAGCGAGCUGAAAUUCAUCCAAAGUCUAUAGGACAGCAGGAGCAGCCUCCGGGCUAUGCAUGACCCAUUACGAGAUGGUUUAUUGACCUAAUGUAGUUGCAAUAUCUUCUUGGCAGGGAGUGAUUUCAUCUGCUUGGUGUAUUUAACAGAAAUUAACUGCUACCCCCCCCCUCCCCUUUUUUUUUUUAAGGAAGUUUCAGUAUAUCAUAAUAAACUAAAUAAAUGAAUUCAGAUUUCAAAGCUUAGCAUCCCAAAAUAACAGUCUGCUGUAAUUUGGCUCGGGAUGCUCCAACGUUUGCUCUCUUCCUGCAUUACCAAGUGGCCAGCGGCCAAGCCCAGCAGAUUACGGCGCUGACAUCGGGCGUCUAUCAGACCUUAAAUCAGGCGAAGUGGGCCAGAAACAACUUGCUUUUAUCCAUUUUAAGGUCUGUAGACUGCUCUUCAAGUGGUUUGCUCUCCAGUGAUGGCACAGACUUUUCCACUGCUGCUUAUGCGGCAGUGCGUGGAAACGAAUCCUCCCCAGAACAAUACGUCAGACCAGGAUUUCUUAGGGUUUUUCUACUUCAUCGCUGGCUUGCUGAAAGAAAGAAGAUGAAUUGCGGGAUAAGGAACAAAAUGAGAACAUGCGAGAGCUAGAAGUGCCUUGUGGGAGCUGUUUUCUAUCUCCUUUUCCUUUUUCGUAUGUGGACGAUCUGACUAAGUGAUGCUGAAUUAUUCCUUGAGAGUUGGAUUGCUGCUCCUUGUGACUUCCUGCCCUGUAAUUUUACUGGAUCGUAUAUCUGCAGCAUGGGCAGGGGGAAAUAGAAAACAGAUGAGGGGAUAUCAGCUCGGCCCCACAGUGCUGUUCAGUAGUUCUGGUGGGUUUAUUUUGUGUCUGUGCCCAUCGGUGUACACGGGAGAAACGGAGCAAUGCAGAGACCUUCUGAAAAAAGAUUUAUCCCAAAGCGUUUAAUGUGGGAAGACAGUUACAAGCUUACACGAUGAGGUAAGAGAGCUGUUUUGUUUAUCCCAGAGAAGAUAAAACACAUAUUUCUUCCAUCUCAGUGACACAUUAAAAGGAAGCAGGGUAUGGUGUGUAAUGGGCUUUUUGGCCAGCGCUCCCCAGGGCCAGGACAGCGGGGUGCCUCGCGGUGCACAGGGCUGCUGCCCUGCUAAGUGCCAGUGGGGUGGUUGUUCAGCAUCCCUCACAGCAGAUUAAUUUGGGCAGACCUAACAAGGCGUCCAGCAAUAACUCUGGGCUUAAUGAGAAAGGAGAGCCCAAGCAGUCAGUCCACCUGGUUUCCUUCAAGCAGUCAGGUUUGGGAUGGAGCGUGGCAGCUCCGGGAGCCACUGGGUACCCAGAGUGGCUGGGGAGGCCCUGUGAGGAUGCUGCAGACCGAGGAAUUGGCAGAGCUUUUUGCCUUUGGAUGGGGAUAAAUUGAGGAGGGUUUCUCUCUCUCAGGCUCUAACAAGGCGGUGGGGCCACUGCCCCAGGAGCUGGUCAAGAAACACGUAGGUGUGGUACUUAGGGACACAGUUUAGUGGGCAGGAUUGGUGGUAGGUGGAUGGUUGGACUGAGGUCUUUUCCAACCUCAGUGAUUCUGUGAUUCUAUUAUUCUAAGGCAGUGGUCCUUGGCCCUAAAUUUGAUAGCCAAAGCAUGUUUCAUUUUUUCCUCUUUCUAUUAUUCUCUAUAAUCUAUUUUUACCUGUUGUUUUUUUUUUUUUCCCCUAUAUUCUUCCUCCGUCUCCAAACAGAACCCUGAUUUUUAUUUUAUUCUGAAUUCCCACCGUAUGUCACGUCCCCCAAAGGCCGGGCAGGCUGCAGGCUUCACCGGGGUUUCCAGUGCAGCCUGUGCUGCCUGCAGCUCUCUGCAUUGCUGAGCCACGUGUUGCUGCAGCAAUAGCACUGCACACACACACACACACACUCUUGGACAGAGCUUUGAGAAACACCGAAAAACAAAUCCCACCAAUGCCCUGCUGCAGCACGAGGGGUGGUGGGAAAAGCAAGAUUAGUCCUCUUCCUUUUUCAGCAGACUCCAGACACAUCAGAUGAAGCUGCCUACAAAGGGAAACAAUGAGGAUUACGUGGUUUUAACUAGGAUUUUUUCUCAAGACUGAUGUGUGAAAGAGAGAGCUUGGUGUGAAGGAGCAUCCCCUGUGCCUUCAACGUGUGAAACUGAAUGGAGAUUCAGCCUCGGGAGUGGGGGUUGUACCAAACACAGCUAGACCUUCUCAUCAUGGAAAUUACUGCCUACGCUACUAUGAGGAAAGCAGAACUGUAAUAUGGGAGCCUCUAAAUUCCAUGCUGUUGAUUGUAGGAUCAUUAAGGUUGGAAAAGAUCACUAAGAUCCCCAAUUGCAACCAUCUCCAUUAUCCCCACUGACCGUGCCCCUCUGCUCUCCUGAGGCUGUUACUGGGGAGGUGGAAAGGUGAUGGUUUGCUGGCCUUCCUGUGCAGCUACGGAGCGAAGCAAAAAAUAUUUAUGCUCCGACUGAUUCCGUAAUUUCAGCCUUCCGAUUUGUUUACACAGCCAAAUCUUUAACUAAUAGAUGUUUGUGAUUCCUGUCGGUUUCCUCGCUGAGGCUCUGGGGCCUGUCCCUCUGUCAGCGGAGCAGCUGCUCUCCUGAAAUGCAUACACAAGUGUCUGUUUGUGUAAGUGCAAUUUUCCACGUGAUUGAUUUCAGAGUAUUCGUCUGAGUGUGCACGGAGCCCGCUGCACAUGGAUUUCAUUCCAAACUCAACAUCUGCCUGAAAGCAGAGGUUCAAGCGAGUGCAAGGCAAAGCGGUGGUCAUUCACAAAGAGGUUCGUCACAGUCGGAUGGCCCAAUGGAUUGGAAUAUCGCUUUGAAACAGGCGAACCACUCUCAAAAAGAUUCACGGGAACUAAUUGAAGGCUCGGUCAGUACAGGGAGUACUGCUGGCACGGGGUAAUGAAUGGGGAUGCACUGAAGAGGAACCAGGAGGCAGCGGGACUGGGGAGGAGGAAAACCGGCGACAGGAGAUAAAAACAUGAGAUCUAGAUGAGGAAGGUUGGGGUUAGGCAAAAUCUCACCUUUUUCUCCAUCAGACAUGAAAUCUCUGUUUCUCACCUUUGGGGCCAGAGACACGAGCCCUUGCAGGUAGUUCUUUGUGUUCCAUGUGUUUGAUGGAGGAGCAGUGAGGAGAGGAAGCCCGACGCUGGGGAGAGGUUUUGUGUAUUUCAACCCGGAAGGUUAAUGCUGUUUACACUAAUCAGAUUUAUUUACUGCAGCGGGGGGAAACUAUUUUUGUAAAUAAAAAGUGUUUAUUAUUGCUGAA